AGCGUACACGGUGGAUGCCCUGGCAGUCAGAGGCGAUGAAGGACGUGCUAAUCUGCGAUAAGCGCCGGUAAGGUGAUAUGAACCGUUAUAACCGGCGAUUUCCGAAUGGGGAAACCCAGUGUGAUUCGUCACACUAUCAUUAACUGAAUCCAUAGGUUAAUGAGGCGAACCGGGGGAACUGAAACAUCUAAGUACCCCGAGGAAAAGAAAUCAACCGAGAUUCCCCCAGUAGCGGCGAGCGAACGGGGAGGAGCCCAGAGCCUGAAUCAGCAUGUGUGUUAGUGGAAGCGUCUGGAAAGGUGCGCGAUACAGGGUGACAGCCCCGUACACAAAAGCGCAUGUGCUGUGAGCUCGAUGAGUAGGGCGGGACACGUGGUAUCCUGUCUGAAUAUGGGGGGACCAUCCUCCAAGGCUAAAUACUCCUGACUGACCGAUAGUGAACCAGUACCGUGAGGGAAAGGCGAAAAGAACCCCGGCGAGGGGAGUGAAAAAGAACCUGAAACCGUGUACGUACAAGCAGUGGGAGCACAGGUUUACCUGUGUGACUGCGUACCUUUUGUAUAAUGGGUCAGCGACUUAUAUUCUGUAGCAAGGUUAACCGAAUAGGGGAGCCGGAGGGAAACCGAGUCUUAAUUGGGCGUUAAGUUGCAGGGUAUAGACCCGAAACCCGGUGAUCUAGCCAUGGGCAGGUUGAAGGUUGGGUAACACUAACUGGAGGACCGAACCGACUAAUGUUGAAAAAUUAGCGGAUGACCUGUGGCUGGGGGUGAAAGGCCAAUCAAACCGGGAGAUAGCUGGUUCUCCCCGAAAGCUAUUUAGGUAGCGCCUCGUGAAUUCAUCUCCGGGGGUAGAGCACUGUUUCGGCUAGGGGGCCAUCCCGGCUUACCAACCCGAUGCAAACUGCGAAUACCGGAGAAUGUUAUCACGGGAGACACACGGCGGGUGCUAACGUCCGUCGUGAAGAGGGAAACAACCCAGACCGCCAGCUAAGGUCCCAAAGUCAUGGUUAAGUGGGAAACGAUGUGGGAAGGCCCAGACAGCCAGGAUGUUGGCUUAGAAGCAGCCAUCAUUUAAAGAAAGCGUAAUAGCUCACUGGUCGAGUCGGCCUGCGCGGAAGAUGUAACGGGGCUAAACCAUGCACCGAAGCUGCGGCAGCGAACGUAUCACCCAAGACAACUUUACGGAGUUGACGAUUGACGGAGCGAAGCGACGUCAAAGCGUUCAUUAAAGUCGAGUUGGCUUAGGGAUACGUUCGUUGGGUAGGGGAGCGUUCUGUAAGCCUGUGAAGGUGUGUCGUGAGGCAUGCUGGAGGUAUCAGAAGUGCGAAUGCUGACAUAAGUAACGAUAAAGCGGGUGAAAAGCCCGCUCGCCGGAAGACCAAGGGUUCCUGUCCAACGUUAAUCGGGGCAGGGUGAGUCGACCCCUAAGGCGAGGCCGAAAGGCGUAGUCGAUGGGAAACGGGUUAAUAUUCCCGUACUUGGUGUUACUGCGAAGGGGGGACGGAGAAGGCUAUGUUGGCCGGGCGACGGUUGUCCCGGUUUAAGCGUGUAGGUGUGUGUUCCAGGUAAAUCCGGUUCACUUUAACACUGAGGCGUGACGACGAGGCACUACGGUGCUGAAGCAACAAAUGCCCUGCUUCCAGGAAAAGCCUCUAAGCAUCAGGUAACACGAAAUCGUACCCCAAACCGACACAGGUGGUCAGGUAGAGAAUACCAAGGCGCUUGAGAGAACUCGGGUGAAGGAACUAGGCAAAAUGGUGCCGUAACUUCGGGAGAAGGCACGCUGACACGUAGGUGAAGUGAUUUACUCAUGGAGCUGAAGUCAGUCGAAGAUACCAGCUGGCUGCAACUGUUUAUUAAAAACACAGCACUGUGCAAACACGAAAGUGGACGUAUACGGUGUGACGCCUGCCCGGUGCCGGAAGGUUAAUUGAUGGGGUCAGCGCAAGCGAAGCUCCUGAUCGAAGCCCCGGUAAACGGCGGCCGUAACUAUAACGGUCCUAAGGUAGCGAAAUUCCUUGUCGGGUAAGUUCCGACCUGCACGAAUGGCGUAAUGAUGGCCAGGCUGUCUCCACCCGAGACUCAGUGAAAUUGAACUCGCUGUGAAGAUGCAGUGUACCCGCGGCAAGACGGAAAGACCCCGUGAACCUUUACUAUAGCUUGACACUGAACAUUGAGCCUUGAUGUGUAGGAUAGGUGGGAGGCUUUGAAGUGUGGACGCCAGUCUGCAUGGAGCCGACCUUGAAAUACCACCCUUUAAUGUUUGAUGUUCUAACGUGGACCCGUAAUCCGGGUUGCGGACAGUGUCUGGUGGGUAGUUUGACUGGGGCGGUCUCCUCCUAAAGAGUAACGGAGGAGCACGAAGGUUGGCUAAUCCUGGUCGGACAUCAGGAGGUUAGUGCAAUGGCAUAAGCCAGCUUGACUGCGAGCGUGACGGCGCGAGCAGGUGCGAAAGCAGGUCAUAGUGAUCCGGUGGUUCUGAAUGGAAGGGCCAUCGCUCAACGGAUAAAAGGUACUCCGGGGAUAACAGGCUGAUACCGCCCAAGAGUUCAUAUCGACGGCGGUGUUUGGCACCUCGAUGUCGGCUCAUCACAUCCUGGGGCUGAAGUAGGUCCCAAGGGUAUGGCUGUUCGCCAUUUAAAGUGGUACGCGAGCUGGGUUUAGAACGUCGUGAGACAGUUCGGUCCCUAUCUGCCGUGGGCGCUGGAGAACUGAGGGGGGCUGCUCCUAGUACGAGAGGACCGGAGUGGACGCAUCACUGGUGUUCGGGUUGUCAUGCCAAUGGCACUGCCCGGUAGCUAAAUGCGGAAGAGAUAAGUGCUGAAAGCAUCUAAGCACGAAACUUGCCCCGAGAUGAGUUCU
rnacentral:rRNA from 1 species